rnacentral:rRNA from 1 species
GACGAACGCUGGCGGCGUGCUUAACACAUGCAAGUCGAACGGAAAGGCCCUGCUUUUGUGGGGUGCUCGAGCGGCGAACGGGUGAGUAACACGUGAGUAACCUGCCCUUGACUUUGGGAUAACUUCAGGAAACUGGGGCUAAUACCGGAUAGGAGCUCCUGCUGCAUGGUGGGGGUUGGAAAGUUUCGGCGGUUGGGGAUGGACUCGCGGCUUAUCAGCUUGUUGGUGGGGUAGUGGCUUACCAAGGCUUUGACGGGUAGCCGGCCUGAGAGGGUGACCGGCCACAUUGGGACUGAGAUACGGCCCAGACUCCUACGGGAGGAAGCAGUGGGGAAUAUUGAACAAUGGGCGGAAGCCUGAUGCAGCAACGCCGCGUGCGGGAUGACGGCCUUCGGGUUGUAAACCGCUUUCGCCUGUGACGAAGCGUGAGUGACGGUAAUGGGUAAAGAAGCACCGGCUAACUACGU